rnacentral:rRNA from 1 species
GAUGAACGCUGGCGGCGUGCUUAACACAUGCAAGUCGAACGGAAAGGCCCAAGCUUGCUUGGGUACUCGAGUGGCGAACGGGUGAGUAACACGUGGGUGAUCUGCCCUGCACUUCGGGAUAAGCCUGGGAAACUGGGUCUAAUACCGGAUAGGACCACAUUUUGGAUGGUGUGGUGGAAAGUUUUUCGGUGUGGGAUGAGCUCGCGGCCUAUCAGCUUGUUGGUGGGGUAAUGGCCUACCAAGGCGUCGACGGGUAGCCGGCCUGAGAGGGUGUACGGCCACAUUGGGACUGAGAUACGGCCCAGACUCCUACGGGAGGCAGCAGUGGGGAAUAUUGCACAAGGGGCGCAAGCCUGAUGCAGCGACGCCGCGUGGGGGAGGACGGCCUUCGGGUUGUAAACGCCUUUCGCUGGGGACGAAGCGUUAUGUGACGGUACCUGGAGAAGAAGCACCGGCUAACUACGUG